CUCCUCUACCAACACUGCCACCUUUGCCCAAAACGCACCCAUGGUUUGGCCACCAUUUUCCUCUUCCUCAAUUUCCACCAAAGGUUUAUCCAUCAUUCCCAUUUCCACCAAACACACCAUCACCUACUCCUGUUUAUGACCCACCAGUUGUUGAGACUCCCCCUGUUCCAGUAUACAAUCCUCCUCCGGUUGUUGAGACUCCCCCUGUUCCAGUAUACAAUCCUCCUCCGGUUGUUGAGACUCCCCCUGUUCCAGUAUACAAUCCUCCUCCGGUUGUUGAGACUCCCCCUGUUCCAGUAUACAAUCCUCCUCCGGUUGUUGAACCACCACCAGUUUACAAUCCUCCUCCGGUUUACAAUCCUCCUCCUGUUUACACACCAACACCAAAGCCAGAACCACCAGUAGUCAAGCCUCCUUGUGACCCAAAACCAAAGCCACAGCCACCUGUCUACAAACCUGCUCCCAUUCCGGUUUAUAAGCCAAAGCCAAAGCCGCCAGUCUACAAGCCUGCUCCCGUCCCAGUUUACAAGCCAAAGCCAAAUCCAGAGCCUCCAGUCUACAAGCCUGCUCCCAUUCCGGUUUAUAAGCCAAAGCCAAAGCCACCAGUCUACAAGCCUUCUCCCAUCCCAGUUUACAAACCAAAGCCAAAUCCAGAGCCUCCGGUUUACAAGCCUGCUCCCAUUCCAGUUUAUAAGCCAAAACCAAAACCGCCUGUUUAUAAGCCUGCUCCCGUUCCAGUUUACAAACCAAAGCCAAAGCCACCCGUUUACAAGCCUGCUCCAGUUCCGGUUUACAAGCCAAAGCCAAAGCCGCCAGUCUACAAACCGGCUCCGGUUCCAGUUUACAAGCCAAAACCAGAGCCACCGGUUUACAAGCCAGCUCCGGUUCCGGUUCCAGUUUACAAACCAAAGCCAAAGCCGCCAGUCUACAAACCUUCCCCUGUUCCAGUUUAUAAGCCAAAGCCUGAGCCACCGGUCUACAAACCUGCCCCUGUUCCAGUUUACAAGCCAAAGCCAGAGCCACCGGUUGUCAAGCCUCCUUGUGACCCAAAACCAAAACCAGAGCCACCUGUCUACAAGCCUGCUCCCGUUCCUAUUUACAAACCUAAGCCAGAGCCGCCAGUCUACAAGCCUUCUCCAGUUCCAGUUUACAAACCGGAGCCAAAACCGCCUGUUUAUAAUCCUUCUCCUGUUCCAGAUUACAAUCCAACACCAAAAUCACCAUUGCCUCCGGUAAUAGACCCACCUUCACCAAAGAAACCUUGCCCACCAUUUUCUCUCCCAAAGCUUCCUCCUUUGCCCACCAUUCCUCCAAAGUAUUUCCAUCAUCACCCCAUCCUAGGAAAUCAUCAUCAUUUGCCCACCAUUCCUCCAAAAUAUUUUCAUCAUCCCAUUCCUUCCCUAC
rnacentral:lncRNA from 1 species